rnacentral:tRNA from 1 species
AAAAAGUUAGUUAAUAUAAUAAUAUAAAAUUGUCAUUUUUAAGUAACUAAUAAAUUAGUACUUUUUA